rnacentral:rRNA from 1 species
UUAAGCUACUAAGGGCUGACGGCGGAUGCCUUGGCACCGGAAGGCGAUGAAGGACGUGGAAAGCUGCGAUAAGCUUCGGUGAGCCGCUAACAGGCUCUGACCCGGAGAUUUCCGAAUGGGGAAACCCGAUAGGGUUCAUACUCUAUCAUCACUUACUGAAUACAUAGGUAGGUGAAGCGAACGAGGGGAAGUGAAACAUCUCAGUACCUUCAGGAAAGGAAAGCAAUAGCGAUUCCGUUAGUAGCGGCGAGCGAACGCGGAUUAGCCCAAACCAUGUCAGCUUGCUGAUGUGGGGUUGUGGGGCCUCAACGUGGGAUUGUAAAUGGAUAGUGGAGCGGUAUGGAAAGGCCGACCAUAGAUGGUGAUAGUCCAGUACACGAAAUCCAUGAACACCCUAGAGGAACCCCGAGUACCACGAGACACGUGAAACCUUGUGGGAAUCUGGGAGGACCAUCUCCCAAGGCUAAAUACUAACCGGUGACCGAUAGUGAACUAGUACCGUGAGGGAAAGGUGAAAAGAACCCCGGGAGGGGAGUGAAAUAGAAACUGAAACCGUCAGCUUACAAGCAGUUGGAGCAUUAAUUUAUUAGUGUGACAGCGUGCCUUUUGCAUAAUGAGUCAACGACUUACCCUAUGUAGCAAGGUUAAGCCGUUAGGUGUAGCCGUAGCGAAAGCGAGUCUUAAUAGGGCGACAUAGUUACAUGGGGUAGACCCGAAGCCGGGUGAUCUAUCCAUGUCCAGGUUGAAGUCUCGGUAACACGAGAUGGAGGACCGAACCAUUGUAGGUUGAAAACUGCUUGGAUGAGGUGUGGAUAGGAGUGAAAGGCUAAUCAAACUCGGUGAUAGCUGGUUUUCUCCGAAAUAUAUUUAGGUAUAGCCUUACGAGAUGACUAACGGAGGUAGAGCACUGCUUGGGCUAGGGGUCCCACCGGAUUACCAACCCCAUGCAAACUCCGAAUACCGUUAAGUUCAAUCGUGGGAGUCAGACUGUGGGAGAUAAGUUCCAUGGUCGAAAGGGAAAGAGCCCAGACCGUCAGCUAAGGUCCCAAAAUUUGCACUAAGUGGAAAAGGUGGUGAAACUGCUGAGACAACCAGGAGGUUGGCUUAGAAGCAGCAACCCUUUAAAGAAAGCGUAACAGCUCACUGGUCUAGUGGAUUUGCGCCGAAAAUGUAACGGGGCUUAAGUGCAGUACCGAAGCUACGGAAUGAAAUUUAUUUCAUUGGUAGGAGAACAUUGUGUAGGCCUGUGAAGGUGCAUCGUGAGGUGUGCUGGAGGUAUCACAAGAGCUUAUGUUGACACGAGUAGCGAUAAAAGGAGUGAGAAACUCCUUCGCCGAAAGUCUAAGGUUUCCUUUGGUCAAGUUAAUCUUCCAAGGGUUAGUCGGCUCCUAAGGCGAGGCUGAGAAGCGUAGUCGAUGGGAAACAGGUUAAUAUUCCUGUACCACUGGUAUAGAUAUAGUAUAAGGGGGGACGGAGAAGGAUAGAUCAGCCAUCUGUUGGAAAUGGUGGUUUAAGCGUGUAGGCUUAGAACUUAGGUAAAUCCGGGUUCUUUUAAGGUUGAGGCGUGAUGACGAAGCCCGAAAGGGCUACAAAGUGAUUAAUUCCAUGCUUCCAGGAAAAUCCUCGUAUACUUUUAUACUGGUGACCGUACCGCAAACCGACACAGGUAGACAGGUAGAAUAUACCAAGGCGCUUGAGAGAACUCUGGUUAAGGAACUCGGCAAAAUAGCACCGUAACUUCGGGAGAAGGUGUGCCCUCAUGGUGAUAGAAUUUCAUACGAAACUUCUUAAGCCUACGGGGGUUGCAGUGAAAUGGGGGGAGCGACUGUUUACUAAAAACACAGGACUCUGCGAAGUCGAAAGACGAAGUAUAGGGUCUGACGCCUGCCCGGUGCCGGAAGGUUAAGGGGACAUGUUAGCUUAGGCGAAGCAUUGAACCGAAGCCCCGGUAAACGGCGGCCGUAACUAUAACGGUCCUAAGGUAGCGAAAUUCCUUGUCGGGUAAGUUCCGACCUGCACGAAUGGCGUAACG